rnacentral:tRNA from 1 species
GCCAUCAUAGCUCAGUGGCAGAGCACUGGUCUUGAAAAACCGGGGGUCGGAGUUCGAUCCUCACUGGUGGCU